GCCGGUUUGGCUCAGUGGAUAAGAGCGUCAGCCUGCGGACUGAAGGGUCCCAGGUUCGAUUCCGGCCAAUGGCA
rnacentral:tRNA from 1 species